rnacentral:rRNA from 1 species
GACGAACGCUGGCGGCGUGCUUAACACAUGCAAGUCGAACGGAGCGAAUGAAAGCUUGCUUUUAUGAGCUUAGUGGCAAACGGGUGAGUAACACGUAGACAACCUGCCGACAGGAUGGGGACAACAUUCCGAAAGGAAUGCUAAUACCGAAUGAAGCGGAGGAGAGGCAUCUCUCCUCCGUGAAAGAUGGCCUCUGAACAUGCUAUCACCUGUCGAUGGGUCUGCGUCUGAUUAGCUGGUUGGUGAGGUAACGGCUCACCAAGGCGACGAUCAGUAGCCGGUCUGAGAGGAUGAGGCCACAUUGGGACUGAGACACGGCCCAGACUCCUACGGGAGGCAGCAGUGGGGAAUCUUCCGCAAUGGGCGCAAGCCUGACGGAGCAACGCCGCGUGAGUGAAGAAGGUCUUCGGAUCGUAAAGCUCUGUUGACGGGGACGAACGUACGGAGUGCGAAUAGUGCUCUGUAAUGACGGUACCUAUCGAGGAAGCCAC